AUCGGGUACAUUUUUUUUAUCCAGACGUGCAAAUGCUGCCCCCUAGACCCAACAGGUUAACCAGAACAUGAAUAAUAUUCAAGGUGGACGAAUGCAUAGCCUUUUAUAACGUAUUGGAACGAGGGUACCCAACAUGAAGUAGCGCGCCAGGUGUCUAAUGGGACAUCACCGUUCCAUGGCUCUUGUUCGGUCAGAUCUCCCUCCAGAAGACUCAAAACACUUUGUAAAGGCUGGUGACAUCUAGUGGAAGCAAUAGGAAGUGCCAAAAUAUUCCUAAACCCCUGUGUUUUUCAAUGGGAUAGGUUUAAAGUCA
rnacentral:lncRNA from 1 species